rnacentral:rRNA from 1 species
GCAGUCGAGCGGGGGAAGGUAGCUUGCUACUGGACCUAGCGGCGGACGGGUGAGUAAUGCUUAGGAAUCUGCCUAUUAGUGGGGGACAACAUUCCGAAAGGAAUGCUAAUACCGCAUACGUCCUACGGGAGAAAGCAGGGGACCUUCGGGCCUUGCGCUAAUAGAUGAGCCUAAGUCGGAUUAGCUAGUUGGUGGGGUAAAGGCCUACCAAGGCGACGAUCUGUAGCGGGUCUGAGAGGAUGAUCCGCCACACUGGGACUGAGACACGGCCCAGACUCCUACGGGAGGCAGCAGUGGGGAAUAUUGGACAAUGGGGGGAACCCUGAUCCAGCCAUGCCGCGUGUGUGAAGAAGGCCUUAUGGUUGUAAAGCACUUUAAGCGAGGAGGAGGCUACUAGUAUUAAUACUACUGGAUAGUGGACGUUACUCGCAGAAUAAGCACCGGCUAACUCUGUGCCAGCAGCCGCGGUAAUACAGAGGGUGCGAGCGUUAAUCGGAUUUACUGGGCGUAAAGCGUGCGUAGGCGGCCAUUUAAGUCAAAUGUGAAAUCCCCGAGCUUAACUUGGGAAUUGCAUUCGAUACUGGAUGGCUAGAGUAUGGGAGAGGAUGGUAGAAUUCCAGGUGUAGCGGUGAAAUGCGUAGAGAUCUGGAGGAAUACCGAUGGCGAAGGCAGCCAUCUGGCCUAAUACUGACGCUGAGGUACGAAAAGCAUGGGGAGCAAACAGGAUUAGAUACCCUGGUAGUCCAUGCCGUAAACGAUGUCUACUAGCCGUUGGGGCCUUUGAGGCUUUAGUGGCGCAGCUAACGCGAUAAGUAGACCGCCUGGGGAGUACGGUCGCAAGACUAAAACUCAAUGAAUUGACGGGGGCCCGCACAAGCGGUGGAAGCAUGUGGUUUAAUUCGAUGCAACGC